GGAAUUCGUGGUGUAGCGGUGAAAUGCUUAGAUAUCACGAAGAACUCCGAUUGCGAAGGCAGCACACUAAGCCGUAACUGACGUUCAUGCUCGAAAGUGUGGGUAUCAAACAGGAUUAGAUACCCUGGUAGUCCACACGGUAAACGAUGAAUACUCGCUGUUUGCGAUAUACUGCAAGCGGCCAAGCGAAAGCGUUAAGUAUUCCACCUGGGGAGUACGCCGGCAACGGUGAAACUCAAAGGAAUUGACGGGGGCCCGCACAAGCGGAGGAACAUGUGGUUUAAUUCGAUGAUACGCGAGGAACCUUACCCGGGCUUAAAUUGCAAAGGAAUAAUCUGGAAACAGGUUAGUCUUCGGACCUUUGUGAAGGUGCUGCAUGGUUGUCGUCAGCUCGUGCCGUGAGGUGUCGGCUUAAGUGCCAUAACGAGCGCAACCCUUGUUGUCAGUUACUAACAGGUUCCGCUGAGGACUCUGACAAGACUGCCAUCGUAAGAUGUGAGGAAGGUGGGGAUGACGUCAAAUCAGCACGGCCCUUACGUCCGGGGCUACACACGUGUUACAAUGGGCGGUACAGAAGGCAGCUACCUGGCGACAGGAUGCCAAUCCCUAAAGCCGCUCUCAGUUCGGACUGGAGUCUGCAACCCGACUCCACGAAGCUGGAUUCGCUAGUAAUCGCGCAUCAGCCACGGCGCGGUGAAUACGUUCCCGGGCCUUGUACACACCGCCCGUCAAGCCAUGGGAGCCGGGGGUACCUGAAGUGCGUAACCGCGAGGAGCGCCCUAGGGUAAAACUGGUGACUGGGGCUAAGUCGUAACAAGGUAGCCGUACCGGAAGGUGCGGCUG
rnacentral:rRNA from 1 species